AUACGUAGGGGGCAAGCGUUAUCCGGAUUUACUGGGUGUAAAGGGAGCGUAGACGGUUCUGCAAGUCUGGAGUGAAAGCCCGGGGCUCAACCCCGGGACUGCUUUGGAAACUGUGGAACUGGAGUGCAGGAGAGGUAAGUGGAAUUCCUAGUGUAGCGGUGAAAUGCGUAGAUAUUAGGAGGAACACCAGUGGCGAAGGCGGCUUACUGGACUGUAACUGACGUUGAGGCUCGAAAGUCAGGGGAGC
rnacentral:rRNA from 1 species